ACCCUCCGGACACCUCCCUGCAAACCCUCCGGACACCUCCCUGCAAACCCUCCAUUCACCUCCCUGCAAGCUCCAGCCCCGGCCCCAUCCAAGGGAACAGCACGGCAAGCGGGGAUCUGGAGUGGAGGUUCCUCCUUCCCUCCCCUCGUUAUUCCUGGCUGUUGUGGCACCCAGGGUUGGCACCUAGGCACAAAAGGGCUGCUUGCUCAGCAGAGCACAGGUUCCAACUCUUGUAUUUCCUUCCCAUUGUUUAGUGGGGUUUGAUCUUUAUCGGUUAUUUACGUGAAGGUUCUUUUUCUCCUAGCAUUAAUAGACUGAAAAGCACGUGAAACUAAAACAAAGCCGACAUCCCUGGACAUCCUGCGAGCCAUUGUUAGGCAGGAUUUUGAACCAUGUCGCACUAUUGAAUUUGAUAAGGAUUUUGCAUAAUAAGGGGGGAAAGUUCUAUGGUACUUCAUUGCAUUUUUGUUAUGUAGAAGCCUGCCGGAAGAGUCACAAUGUAGGAGUUCAGCACCUUCUAAUAGGAUUUCAUGUGGUUACAAUGUUCCUAAAGGCAACUUUAGGAAGGAUGCUGACAAAUGUCUGUCGUGCAAUCACUUUUCAAGGUGGAAAACUUCCCAUUAACUUUGAUUUUUAGAAACAUUUCCAUGUCUCAGUUCACUUUUCAGACCUUUUGCCAGCAAAUUUCUGUUGCGUGUUUUGCACUCCAGGCUGUGCUUCUGACUGACAUUAAGUACAAAUCUUAUUUAGAGAACGAAUUCAAAGCAAACAAAAGAAAAUCAGAAAGCAGUUUUAAAGAACCCCUUCCUGUUGAGAUUGACUUGAGUGGGAGCUGCGUUUAGGACUAAGUGUGGUGUUCAACACUGUAAAAAUUGCUCAUGCUUUGUUUAAAAACCUCACAAACAUAGAGGCACUCCUCUAAGUGAUAGUGUAAAAUGAUACUAACUUGAUGGAUGUCGUGAAAGAUACUUGUUUGGAAAAACUCUGCAGUUGAAAUAAACACUGAAACUUCAAAGUACGGUACAGUGAGAAAAAUUUAAAUAAUUUUUAACUUUAAAUACUGCAGCUUCCUUAAAAUCAGAAAUUUGGGUUCAGUGCAGGGUGUGGCGCAUGAAAGGGAGGCCAAAAUUUCGAAAAACUGGCAAUGAAUUAGUCUCAGAUUCACAGUGGCAGCAGACAGACAUGUUCCAGUGCAGGAGCUGAGUUCAGGUACAGGUCUGGGUAGCAAAUAACAGGUUUUACAAAACUUGUUGAGAAACAAAAGAGGGGAUUCUGCCAGGUAGAGGACAGCAAGGAAGUGAAGAUCUGAGUGUGCUGAGAGUUUGUGUGAUGUGAGAACAGCAGAAUUGUUGCUGGGGAGAGGAGACUGGAUUUUGUGGUAGCUUCAGAUGGAGUCUUUAUUUGGCUUUUAAUGUAUUGUAAUGGAAGUUUGGUGUGUUCAUCUGAAAGAGGUUGUCAUCAAGUGAGAAAUCUUAAGAGAAAAUUGGUAAAAGCAGUAUUAACAAAGAAACCAUGAUCUUUUUACCCUGUUCUGGCUCUGUUAGUGCUACAUUGCUGCAGCUGCCAGGAUUGAUUUGAUUUGGUUUUACAGUCUGCUUUUCUUUGUUGCUGUCUUUUAGAGUGAUGCAUGUGUGUGGUUUGUUGGUUUAUUUUUCUUUUUUUUGUCUUUUUUUCCUAAGAGGGAGUUUGAAGACGCUUUAUUCUCUAGUGAAAAAUAUAUUUUAAAAAUCAUGGGAUGAAGAGAAAUGAGUGGAGCAACAUGGGGGCUGAGUUUUGUGCCAUGUAUGUGAACAGCAGGGCAAUCUAUUGCUGCAGGACAUAAAUCAGGAGCUGGCUGCAGCUUAAGGACAGUGCUCUUUGCUAAAGGAAAUACUGGGUUUAGGAGCAAUUUCUUUAUGGAUAUGCUGUGCAAAGGUGAGAACUGGUUCCUUGGCCUACUCUGAGCCAUUUCCAAGGUCCUGUAUCCUUUGGGCCUAACUCUGAUUUUACAGAGUAGGAGAGUCCAGGGAACAUCACCAGCAUAAAUCUGACAAAAAGUUGCACCCAACAACGUUCCUGGAGCAGUACCAAGUGGCUGGAGCAGAAAACAGCAAGUUUGGGUUCUAAACAAUAAAGUUUAGCACCCUCCCAAAAGCUGCAGAAAAAACCAUUUGAAUGGAGCAUGAAAAAGUUUCUUGAACUGCCUUAGUUUGCACUUAGUUUACUUGAAUAUUUGAACCUGAAGCAGUGAUAAUCAAAAAGCCAGGUCUAUGGAUGGCUCUGCCUGGGAGAACUAUGGAAGAAAGAGUAUAAUUUAGGCUGUCACAGGUGGGUGUAGCCUUAGGGCACAGCAAAAACCUUUUCCUGUAGUGGUUUUUUGUCUGUUAAUUUAAGAUUUCUUUAAUUUUGAGAUUUUUUUUUAAACUAAUGUUUUGAUGAGUGUGGUGGGUUUUAGUGUUGGUUAAUUACUUAGGUACUUAUUUUUUGUUGUGAGGUGGGAAGACAGGAUUAGGAGAAAGGUAAAGUAGGUUUAAAAUUUUAAAAGGGGAUAAAGAAAAUUUUAUUAGUAGUAACUAAAGAAAAAAAUAGUAGUAAGAAUUUAAACAAAUUUUUAGAAUACUUUUUUUCUCUUUACAAUUUUUUUUUUACUGAUAAUGUAAAGAAACAAAACCUCAAAUUUAUAGUUAGUAUACUACUUUUGAAAUAGUAUUUUUUGAGUUUACUUAGGGAGAAAAGUCUCUUGUUAAUAUUAUGGAGAUUUCUGUACAAGAUGAAAAAAAUGGGGUUUUUGUGGUUCCUUUACGAAAACAGUAAAAAGUAUUUUUUUUUGUGGUUCUUUUACAAAAACAGUAGUUGCACAGGGAAAUUUGCUAUUGUGAAGUUUUUCACCACGUGCUGCUCAGGGAAAUUUGUUGUUGUGAAGUUUUUCACCACUGCUGCUGCCUGUGUUUUUGAAAUGCACUGCAGAGCUGCGCUUGUGUUUCCCCUGGGGAUCCUGUGCCUGUGGUUGGAUUGUGCCCUCUGCCAUGUGUGAUCCAGCUGCCAAUUGACCUGGCAGCUCCAAUCAACUCCUGAGGUCAGCAGCACUGGGGAAAAAGAACCAUCUUCAUUAACCCCUGAGCAUCUUCUGGUCCCUAGCAAAGGUGGGCUGGGUAAUUACAGCAAAGGCUUGGAGCUGAAUGGAGACAUUUUAGGAGGUGUUUCCCCCACUGUGGGAGUCUGGCUCGGUGAUGGCACAGGGAGGGGACACCAGUGCACAUGUGCAAUUUAAAUAGCUCUGGAUUCUGCAUCAUAAAUAUGCACCGGAUGCAGGGAAGGCAAAAAAAGAAAAAAAAAAACAACCAACCCCAGCACGUUCUCUCAGGAUGCUGUUAGGGCCAAGCAGCAUCUCAUUAGGGACAACUUCAAAGAUCAGUUCCUCAUGUCCAUAAAAACAAGUGUAAAUUAUCUUCUGUGAGCCUGCUGUUAGCAGUUGCACUGUUACAUUAUGCAUGUAGCCUAGACUGCACAUGGUAUCAACAAACUGUGCUGGGUUUCUUCAUUAGGGUUUCAUUUUUAUGCAAGGCAUGGCUACUUCGCUGUUUAUUUGUUGUAGUUUUGGCUAAUACAGUAUUUGACUUAACCUUUCCUGCUGUAUUAGCUGUUAGCAGUGCCACAGUGCCUGAAAAGGUCUUUUAGGGUUCCACGGUGCCUGUGUUUUCAUAGAGGAAUGGCAUACAGACAAUUCCCUGUAUUGACAGCUUCACUUUCUCAUUCUUCUGCUUCCUGCACUCAGUGAGAGAGGGGGUGGCUGAUCCUGACCCUCUUGGAAUGAAACUUGAAGGAGCUUUCAGUGAUGCUGCUCUGCAGCACCUGACUUAAAUGUUUAUGGAAAUGGUAAAGAGGGGAGAACUUCAAUGCUGUGCGCUUUCACUGCCCCAUCAUACACAGCUGAAAGGCAAGCUUGUAAUCGUUGCUGGGGGAAUGUUUUGAAGUGGUGAAAUGCAGCCCCUGUGCAUGGAAGUUUUGUGACAAUUUCCUCUGGGAUCAAGAUUUUUGAGACUGUAUUCACUGUCCUUGCAGAAACAGUAAGAUGCCAUGGAAUAUUCUCCUGAACUGUAUUGCUAAAAAAGGAAUUUUUAUAUUUUUCUUUUCCUGUGGUACUUUUGCCUUUUUUGUGUAGCUUAAUCAUUGAUGAAAGGAAGCAUUCACUUGCACACCUAGUCAAGUCUUGCCACAACCUUUGGGUGUGAUGUUGAACUCUGGGUCAGCAAUCUGAUCUGCACAGUGAUUUCACCAAGACCUGCACCUUGGGGCUGCUUUAGGCUGCUCUAACUAAGUUCUCUUGUGACAUCCAGCGUGGCUUGAGUGGUUCAAGCCACUGUUGUAGCCCUCACA